rnacentral:lncRNA from 1 species
GCAUUUAUUGCGUAAAUUUUGUAUACCAUUCAUGUGGUAAGAGGAUAGAAGAAGGAAAAAUGGGAGGGCUAGAUCUCAAUCUUUCUUACCUUCGAAUCUCUUGCACAAAACAGAAUUCCAAAUAAAAUGGGACCCACCGAAGUAGGAAAUUUGCCUAAUUUCUCUCCAUUCUUUCUAUUUUUUUCCCUAUUACCUUGGCCAGGAUGCGGUAUAUGAAUCAUAUCUCUCGAUGAUUUUAUAUCUAAGAACAAACAUCAUCUAAGAAAGUGAAUUGGAAAUGGUCCGUUUGAGGAGACACUUGCUUUCUCUCAUUUAACUACUCCUAAGAAGAAAGAGACAUCUUUUUAAAUUUUCGUACUCAAGAAAUUUAUCACCGAGAAAACUCAGCAUUUGGGAGUCUUAUGUUCCAGGAAGGGGGAAGAGACCAAUCGCAAAUCUGGCCAGCUGGACAGGGAAGGAAAACAGCCAUAGGACACAGAACACAUCACACUAGGAAGAGAAAUCUUGAAGUGAAAACUUACUUCUUUUAGAGUCUCCUUUUCUCUGUCAUGAGAGGUGGAGUGAACAUAGCAUGGAGAUCCUAAUGCAGCUUUACUGAGUUGCGCAAUGGGAAAGAAACAAUGAAGAUGUAUUUUCCUAUAGUAGGUCUUUCUUCAUGGCAAGGUAAGUAUUACAAAGUCAAUGAUAAUAACAGCAAGUUA